AUCACCAUAAUCAUCAUUCUUGCUGUUCUGCUGUUACUUGGAAUUGUGUGCUUGAGCAAGCAGAAUCCUGAAAUGACUGCAGAUAGAAGGGACACAAAUCCUGUCAUACAGAACGACAUAGGUCCUGUGAACAGCACUGUCACAGCAAGGGCCACGACCUCUGACCCCGCACAGAGAGUGCCCACACCUGAUCAAAACGAUAUUCAUAAACGUGAAGGAGCUGAGAGAAACAGCAGAGGAAACCAAAGGGCUGUCCAUUCUGAUGCCCAUGAUGAGACAUACACAGCUCUCAACCCCAGGAGCACAUCCUCUGAGUAUGACACUCUGCAGAAUGUGAGGAUUGUGAGUGACACCUACAUGCCUCUCCAGAGAAGAGCUCAGGCCUCAGUGUAUGAGACUCUGCAGAGAAGAGAGACGCCCCAGUCAGAGAUGGAGCUGAAGGAUCUCGGGAUGAGAGGCCAAC
ensembl:lncRNA